UACGUAGGGUGCAAGCGUUAAUCGGAAUUACUGGGCGUAAAGCGUGCGCAGGCGGUUGUGCAAGACGGAUGUGAAAUCCCCGGGCUUAACCUGGGAAUUGCAUUCGUGACUGCAUGGCUAGAGUGUGUCAGAGGGGGUAGAAUUCCACGUGUAGCAGUGAAAUGCGUAGAUAUGUGGAGGAAUACCGAUGGCGAAGGCAGCCCCCUGGGAUAACACUGACGCUCAUGCACGAAAGCGUGGGGAGCAAACAGG
rnacentral:rRNA from 1 species